rnacentral:rRNA from 1 species
AUUGAACGCUGGCGGCAGGCCUAACACAUGCAAGUCGAGCGGUUGAAGGGAGCUUUCUCCUGGAUUCAGCGGGGGACGGGUGAGUAAUGCCUAGGAAUCUGCCUGGUAGUGGGGGAUAACGUCCGGAAACGGGCGCUAAUACUGCAUACGUCCUGAGGGAGAAGGUGGGGGAUCUUCGGACCUCACGCUAUCAGAUGAGCCUAGGUCGGAUUAGCUAGUUGGUGGGGUAAAGGCCUACUAAGGCGACGAUCCGUAACUGGUCUGAGAGGAUGAUCAGUCACACUGGAACUGAGACACGGUCCCGACUCCUACGGGAGGCAGCAGUGGGGAAUAUUGGACAAUGGGGGAAAGCCUGAUCCAGCCAGGCCGCGUGUGUGAAGAAGGUCUUCGGAUUGUAAAGCACUUUAAGUUGGGAGGAAGGGCAGUAAGUUAAUAACUUGCUGUUUUGACGUUACCAACAGAAUAAGCACCGGCUAACUUCGUG